UCUCUUCCUGUCCACGCCAAGAAGUGGAUUAAAACGGACAUGGGGGAAAAAAGCAAUUAAAAAAUAUAUACAUUUAAAAACGUCCUGUUGCCUAAUGACGAAUUGGACAACAUUGGGGUCACGUGAUCUCGCCUUCAGAUCAUAUGAUAUCCUCCUAUACACUUGUGUAUUUCCUUUAUCAUGUAGUGUACUAUUUAUAAGCAUCAUUCACUUGGUCACGUGAAUAAAGUGAACCCUUAAUUGGUUCUUAAUUAGACCUUAAAUAUUUGAUACGCCCCGAAUUGGACACUGACGGUACUAAGGUGAAGGUUUUAAAGGUGGGCUCUUGAGGGUUUCGGGUACAGCAGGAACACAAUUAUGAAGAAUGAUAAAUCAGAAGCCUGAUGAUGAACAGAAGGAACAUGAGGCUUUAUACCCUCAGAAAACGGAUUGCCCUGGAAGAAGAGCAGGGUUGCGGGAAACUGGGGCUUCACCUGUCUGCUGCACCCAGAAGAAAAGAUGAGGUUUGAUUUCCUGACAAGGUCUACCGCAGGUGUGUGGAGAAAAGUCAAGUGGCAUUUCUUGUCAUUUCAACCAGUUGGUCCAGUAAACCAAGGACAAGGGUUCUACAUAAGAAAAGACAAACCGAACUCGUAGGAACCAGAGUGUCGGAGGAACCAGCCAAACAAACAGAUACACAAACAAAUACACAAACAAAUACACAAACAAACAUCAAAACAUAUUUGUAUUACACAAUGUGUUAUUCUACAAUCUUAAACAUGUAGUGGCAUUAAAUUA